GAAAAGAAACCAACAGGGAUUGCCUCAGUAACGGCGAGUGAAGCGGCAAAAGCUCAAAUUUUAAAGCUGGCAUCUUCGGUGUCCGCGUUGUAAUUUUGUGAGGCAUCUCCGGGUAGGGCGCCGGCCUAAGUUCCUUGGAACAGGACGUCACAGAGGGUGAGAAUCCCGUGCUUGGCUGGCUGUCCCCGUCCAUGUGAGGUGUCUUCGACGAGUCGAGUUGUUUGGGAAUGCAGCUCAAAAUGGGUGGUAAAUUUCAUCUAAAGCUAAAUAUUGGUGGGAGACCGAUAGCGCACAAGUAGAGUGAUCGAAAGAUGAAAAGCACUUUGAAAAUAGAGUUAAAAAGUACGUGAAAUUGUUGAAAGGGAAGCGCUUGAGACCAGACUUCGGUAGGGGGUGAUCAGCCGUGCUUCGGUGCGGUGCACUUGUUCCUCUCUGGGCCAGCAUCGGUUGAGGCGGCGGGAUAAAGGUCCCGGGAAUGUGGCUCCUUCACGGGAGUGUUAUAGCCCGGGUGAAUGCCGCCAGCUUCGACCGAGGACCGCGCCCGCAAGGGUUAGGAUGCUUGGCAUAAUGGUCUUCAGCG
rnacentral:rRNA from 1 species